rnacentral:tRNA from 1 species
GGGGCUGUAGCUCAGUCAGGUUAAGCAAGAGCAAGGGCGCGCGUAAAACGGAUCCCGUGGUCGCAGGUUCAAAUCCUGCCGGCCCCGCCA